rnacentral:rRNA from 1 species
UAGGGAAUCUUCCGCAAUGGACGAAAGUCUGACGGAGCAACGCCGCGUGAGCGAAGAAGGUCUUCGGAUCGUAAAGCUCUGUUGUUAGGGAAGAACAAGUAUCGUUCGAAUAGGGCGGUACCUUGACGGUACCUAACCAGAAAGCCACGGCUAACUACGUGCCAGCAGCCGCGGUAAUACGUAGGGGGCAAGCGUUAUCCGGAAUUAUUGGGCGUAAAGCGCGCGCAGGCGGUCCUUUAAGUCUGAUGUGAAAGCCCACGGCUCAACCGUGGAGGGUCAUUGGAAACUGGGGGACUUGAGUGCAGAAGAGGAGAGCGGAAUUCCACGUGGAGGGGUGAAAUGCGUAGAGAUGUGGAGGAACACCAGUGGCGAAGGCGGCUCUCUGGUCUGUAACUGACGCUGGGGCGCGAAAGCGUGGGGAGCGAACAGG